GGAAGGCAGAAAAACAGAAGAACAGUCCCGUGAACAGUUUGCAAUGGACCGGCUUGUUCAGUUGGCUUGCUUAAAGCAGUUGGCCACUCGAGGCAGUAGUGCUGCGAAAUUGGGGAUCCCCAAGGUAUCAAAACAAGUUGCUUCAGCUUUCAUGAAAAGAACUCUUGCUAGGUGUCGAAGAUUUGAAGAUACACAAAAAAGUUGCUUCAGUGAACCUGCACUUCGAGACAUUUUAACACGACCUUCUAACCGAAUAAAUACAGAUGUUAUGAAUGGUUCCUUUUCUGGUGAAGCUUAUCACAAUGGUGUGCAGAAUCAUAAAAGUGG
rnacentral:misc_RNA from 1 species